AUACGUAUGGGGCGAGCGUUGUUCGGAAUUAUUGGGCGUAAAGGGCAUCUAGGCGGGAAAUUAAGUUAGUAUGUGAAAUCCAUGGGCUCAACCCAUGACGUGCAUCUAAAACUGAUUUUCUUGAGUUAGGGAGAGGAAAGCGGAAUUCCAGGUGUAGCGGUGAAAUGCGUAGAUAUCUGGAAGAACACCAGUGGCGAAGGCGGCUUUCUGGCCUAUAACUGACGCUGAAGUGCGAAAGCGUGGGGAGCGAACGGGAUUAGAAACCCUAGUAGUCC
rnacentral:rRNA from 1 species